rnacentral:lncRNA from 1 species
AAUAAUCAAAUCAAGGAGCUACGUCCGGAUUGAUUCCGCCCCAAGGAUACGUAGGCAAUAUGGAAACUCAAUCCAAAUACAACCACAAGUUCAAACAGAAUUCUGGUUCACAACCAAAUUCGCCCCCAAACACUUUUCAACUACAAAUCAAAUUGAAUCACUGGUCCAACCACAUUCAUCUAAAUUCCAUAAAUAUUUCCCACACCACAAAUUCUUUCAAGGGGUCAUUCACUCGUUGAAAGUCCAAUCAAAUUCUCCAAAGAACUACGAGUGACUUUAUCCCUUAAAAAGGGUACGUAGGCAACCUAAGGUCAAUCUAAGUGCAGCCGCAAACUUAAACAAACACACAAACUCCCCACAUUAAAUUUUAUCCAUGUUGGAAGCAAAAGGUGUUCUCUUAUCUCGAUUCUCUCUACUGCAAUUUCCACCACAGCAAGGACGCCAACCAAUAACUUGGCCAGUCGCCAGAGGUAAGAAAUAUCUUCCCAAUCUUUCUGAUUCAAUUGGUUUGAUCUUUUCUGUGUUUGUUGUUUCUCUAGAAUGAGUGCUUGUUAGAUCAAUUUGAGACGUUGACUUAUGCUGGAAAAGAAAAGAGAGUAAUAAAUAAAAAAUAAAAAAAAACUUGAAGCUUAAUAACUGUUCAUACAAGACAAAGAAGCAGACUUUCACCUUCCAUAUUCAUUGCCGGCAGCAUUGCUGUUUCUGUGGUACGAAGCAAUCUGAGACAUUGACUUAGACUGGAAAAGAAAAGAGAGUAAAAAAAAUAUACUUGUGAGAACCAAAUUUGUGUCAUGGGAUUUAAUUUUGUAACCUCACUUGAGUGAUUACCUGUCUGUAGCUGGAUUUCCACUUUGAUGGUAUAGGUAUAAUGGACGGUACAUACCGAGAUAAAGAACGAAGACGAGAAUACCGGUCCCGCAUCUCAUUCGGCAAAAACGCAAUUGCAGGCUGCCAUGUUUGAGAAUUGAGGUCGAGCAUACAUAUGUUUAUAUGUUUAUAUAUCCACACUUUUUUAUAGGAUAAUAAUUGGUCCUUAAGAGCCAAGUUGUAAUUGUAGUCGGGAGUGUACCCAAUAUUUGUCUCAUAUUUGAAGGCAGUACAAUCGAAGUUUUUAGAUAAUUGUCAUGAAGCAUUUCCCAAGUAUUAUUCCUCAGAAUCCACAACCCUAUCAUUUUAUGACGUUCACGCAACUCACCUAGUAGACCAAGGCAUCCAACCAUCUCAAUUAAUUUGCAGUCAAAAGCAUAGAAAUCCGAUUUGUCGUCACAUGGGCCACACAACUGGGGAAGUGGGAUCGUAGUGAACAUCUCACUUCUAACCUCGAACACCAGAAUGCAACUUGUGCGAUACUCAUAGCUUGGCCAAUAUAACUUGCGGUUGAGGCAUAAAGGUUUAUUCUCAAGAAAACUACAGAGGUGAAUCUCAUCGUGGACCCGGGGUAGGUGAAAAUUCCGCGCCAGGCGCGUGAGGAAAAAAAACAAAAAUAAAAAGAAAAGAAGUCAAAACAUGGGUUUAAAAUAAACUUUUCUUAUAAAAAUAGCUCCCAAAAUCUUACAACUUUACAAUAAAUAAAUACAUCUCUAUUACUCUCAUCUAAUUCAGCCUCAAUUGGUUUAGUCUUGUCUUGUCCACUAAUUCAUCUGAAAAAUUAAAUAGGGUGAGAGAUAAGCAAUCACCGCUCAGUAGGGAAAUGAGACCUUACGACAGUAGAUUGAUAUAACUAAAUUAAGUAACCCCCUUCCUAUUGGAUGGUGUUUGGCGGUUUACAAAUACUUACCAUCCAAGUUAUAUUCAUGUGGUGGUCUAGCUUUGCAAAUAAGGUAGUUCCCAAUUCCUCCAAUCCUAUACAACCUUUCUUGGUGAAUUGACAGAGCUAGUAUAUAGCUAUGCUUACUAAGCAUUUGUUUUUCUUUGACACAUACUACACUAACAAUGACUAACCAUAUCCAUAUAUAAUAGAACAGGAUAUUUAUGUAAUACACACAUAUAUAAUAUAAUAUAAUAUAUAAGUAAAUGGCAAAAUAUUAAAUCUUCAAACUAUAUAAUUUUUAUAAAUACGGAGUUUCACAAUCUACCCUCCUUAAAAGAAAUUUCGUCCUCAAAAUUUACUAACACUUAAUUAAGAAAAUCUACUCCAAAAAGUUAUGCCCCUAACUCAUUCUAUCAAUUUAAAACUUAUUUUGUACUAAUACUAUAUCACAGUUCCCAAGGGUGUCUAAUCCCUAUGCUCUGAUAUCAUUCUGUCACGCCUCGAACUCGGGGGUAGGUGAAAACCCCUGGCCCGGCUCGUGAGAAAAUUAAAAAAAACUAAAAAAAAAGAAGAAAAGAAGCCGAAACAUGGGUUUAAAAUAAACUUCUCUUAUAAAAAUAGCUCCCAAAAUCUUACAACUUUACAAUAAAUAAAUACAGCUCUAUUACUCUCAUCUAAUUCAGCCUCAACUGGUUUAAUCCUUGUCUUACCCAUUAAUUCAUCUAAAAAAUUAAUUAGGGUGAGGGAUGAGCAACCACCGCUCAGUAGGGAAACGAGACCUUAUCACAGUAGAUUGAUAUAACUAAAUUAAGUAACACGCAAUCACACAGCCAAAUAUCACAUUAAUAAUAAAAAUAAUAAUAAUGCAUGAAUGCUCUUCAUCUAAUCCCGUUAAUUUAUAUAACUGGACAAGCAGACCUGCACGUCCCAUACUAUGCUUAUACCACUUGGUCCCGAAUGCCCAUUUAUAUGAACUAACACCCAUUUCAAUCAUCCCAUAAUUCCCCUUUUGUUAGUCAUCUUGUCUACAACAUUGAUCUCCAAGCCCAAAUCACCCAAUCGACAAUUAUACCGCUGAUUUCCUAGUCUACUGUGCACAUGGGCUCGCCUGGACUUGGUCCCUACAAUGUUCAGACUCAACUGCACAAAAGGUCUUUCCCAUUACCCUAUUUUCCAUACUUUCUUUAUCAACCCAAGAGUUCCAGCCAUCACUAAUAACAUAUGAUCAUAUCAAUAUUAAUAAAAUGAUAUAAUAAUAAUUAACAACACUUAAACACUCAAUAUCAAUAAUAAUCAAAUAAUAUUAUCAUGGAUAAUAUAUUACUCACGAAAUUUAAUUAGAUCAAUCCCUGUAAAAGCUCCCAAGAAACCCCUACCUUAAUUCCAAAGCAUUGUUCCAAUUUAAGAAAAUACAAACUAACCCCUAUAUCUCCUCCAAGAAUUUUAUCCUCUCUCUCUCUCUCUC